rnacentral:rRNA from 1 species
AGAGUUUGAUCAUGGCUCAGAUUGAACGCUGGCGGCAUGCCUUACACAUGCAAGUCGAACGGCAGCACGGGCUUCGGUCUGGUGGCGAGUGGCGAACGGGUGAGUAAUGUAUCGGAACGUACCUUUCAGUGGGGGAUAACGUAGCGAAAGUUACGCUAAUACCGCAUAUUCUGUGAGCAGGAAAGCAGGGGAUCGCAAGACCUUGCGCUGAUUGAGCGGCCGAUAUCAGAUUAGCUAGUUGGUGGGGUAAAGGCCUACCAAGGCUACGAUCUGUAGCGGGUCUGAGAGGAUGAUCCGCCACACUGGAACUGAGACACGGUCCAGACUCCUACGGGAGGCAGCAGUGGGGAAUUUUGGACAAUGGGGGCAACCCUGAUCCAGCCAUGCCGCGUGAGUGAAGAAGGCCUUCGGGUUGUAAAGCUCUUUCGGCCGGGAAGAAAUCGCAUAGGUUAAUACCCUGUGUGGAUGACGGUACCGGAAUAAGAAGCACCGGCUAACUACGUGCCAGCAGCCGCGGUAAUACGUAGGGUGCGAGCGUUAAUCGGAAUUACUGGGCGUAAAGCGUGCGCAGGCGGUUUCGUAAGACAGAGGUGAAAUCCCCGGGCUCAACCUGGGAACUGCCUUUGUGACUGCGAAGCUAGAGUACGGCAGAGGGGGGUGGAACUCCACGUGUAGCAGUGAAAUGCGUAGAGAUGUGGAGGAACACCGAUGGCGAAGGCAGCCCCCUGGGCCGAUACUGACGCUCAUGCACGAAAGCGUGGGUAGCAAACAGGAUUAGAUACCCUGGUAGUCC